rnacentral:rRNA from 1 species
UACGUAGGGUCCAAGCGUUAAUCGGAAUUACUGGGCGUAAAGCGUGCGCAGGCGGUUAUGCAAGACAGAUGUGAAAUCCCCGGGCUCAACCUGGGAACUGCAUUUGUGACUGCAUGGCUAGAGUACGGUAGAGGGGGAUGGAAUUCCGCGUGUAGCAGUGAAAUGCGUAGAUAUGCGGAGGAACACCGAUGGCGAAGGCAAUCCCCUGGACCUGUACUGACGCUCAUGCACGAAAGCGUGGGGAGCAAACAGG